UCGGUCGGUGGCCAAUGACAUUAACCGUGGUUCUCAGUCGUUCAGAUUCUGGUUGGGAGCAGCAUCGUGAUGUAAUUGUCAUAGGGGGUUUGAUUACCAACAUGACACAGAUGGGAUGGGCUUUAGAGGUGGAAAGAAAGAGAUGGGUAAAGAGGAACAGAGAGUGAGCGCGAGAGUAAAUAAGUGUGAGAAAAAGGGAGAGUGUCACGACUUCCACCGACGGUGGCUCUUCUCCCUUUCUUUUUUGUUUGCGUCUGUCUGUUUCUUACACCUGUGUUCUAUUGAGUUAAUUUGUGUGGGUUUAUUUACCUCGUUGCCUGCUGUUAUUUCUUGUGCGGGAUUAUUUCUGUGUUUGUUUGGUGCGUGUGCUAGAUUGCGCCACAGGCUAUUCCCACGGUCGUUUGUGCCUUUGUGAUUUAUUUAGGAGUAGAUUGUUUUUUUCCCUCCUGUUGUCACUUCGAAUUCCUGUUUUGUUGGGCGCCUUCGUUGGGUUUGUUUCCUGACCAGUUUUGUGUUUUGGACUUCCAAAUAAAUAUUUUACUAUUUGGAACUCAGUGCUCUCCUGCUCCUGACUCUUGCACCUACCUCGUCCUAGUGAGGCACCUUACAGAGAGAUCAACAACCGCUCCAAGCACUGCACUCUGACUGUUUAACGUUACCUGUGAAGCUCUUAGCUACCUAUAUACACAGGAACACCUUCCUAAUAUUGAGUUGCUUUUGCCCUCAGAACAGCCUCAAUUCGUCGGGUAUGGACUUACAAGAUGUCAAAAGCGUUCCACAGGGAUGCUGGCCCAUGUUGACGCCAAUGCUUCCCACAGUUGUGUCAAGUUGGCUGGAUGUCUUUUGGGUGGUGGACCGUUCUGAAUACACUGGAAACUGUUGAGCAUGAAAAACCCAGCAGCAUUGCAGUUCUUGACACAAACCGGUGCGCCUGGCACCUGCUACAUGUACCAUAUCCCAUUCAAAGGCACUUAAAUCUUUUGUCUUGCCCAUUCACCCUCUGAAUGGCGCACAUACACAAUCCAUGUUUUAGUUGUCUCAAUACUUAAAAAUCCUUCUUUAACUUGUCUCCUCCUGUUCAUCUACACUGAUUGAAGUGGAUUUAACAAGUGACAUCAAUAAGGGGGUGUGAUGUGGGUCCUGUCCUGAGCCGCAUGAGCCGCCCGUCUGUCCUGAGCCGCCCGUCUGUCCUGAGCCGCCUGAGCCGCCCGUCGGUCAUGGGGCCGCCUGAGCCGCCCGUCGGUCAUGGGGCCGCCUGAGCCGCCCGUCGGUCAUGGGGCCGCCUGAGCCGCCCGUCGGUCAUGGGGCCGCCUGAGCCGCUCGUCGGUCAGGAGCCGCCUGAGCCGCCCUCCUGUCCGGAUCUGCCAGAGUCUCCCUCCAGUCCGGAUCUGCCAGAGUCUCCCUCCAGUCCGGAUCUGCCAGAGUCUCCCUCCAGUCCGGAUCUGCCAGAGUCUCCCUCUAGUCCGGAUCUGCCAGAGUCUCCCUCUAGUCCGGAUCUGCCCUCCAGUCCGGAGCUGUCCCUCAGUUCGGAGCUGCCCCUCAGUCCAGAGGCGCCCCUCAGUCCAGAGGCGCCCCUCAGUCCAGAGGCGCCCCUCAGUCCAGUGGUGCCCUUUAUUAGGGUCCCCAGUCCAAGGUCGGCGGUGAGGGUCGCCGCUCCAAAGACGCCACUUAAGCGGGCUAAGACAAUGGUGGAGUGGGGUACACGUCCCGUGCCAGAGCCGCCACCGCGGACAGAUGCCCACCCAGACCCUCCCCUAUAGGUUCAGGUUUUGCGGCCGGAGUCCGCACCUUUGGUUGGGGGGGGGGGGGGUACUGUCACGCCCUGACUAUAGAUUGCUUUGUAUGUUUCUAUGUUUUGUUUGGUCAGGGUGUGAUGUGGGUGGGCAUUCUAUGUUGUAUGUCUAGGUUGUCUUUUUUCUAUGUGUUUGGCCUAGUAUGGUUCUCAAUCAGGAGGCAGGUGUCAGUCAUUGUCUCUGAUAGGAAGCCAUAUUUAGGUAGCCUGUUUUCCUUUGGGUUUUGGUGGGUAGUUAUUUUCUGUAUCCUGUGUUAGGGUUUUCACCAUACGGGACUGUUUCGGGUUGUUUGUUUUGUAUUUUUGUUAUUUCGUUCAGUGUUCUGUUUGAUUAAAUUAUCAUUAUGGACACUUA